rnacentral:rRNA from 1 species
UGCCAGCAGCCGCGGUAAUACGAAGGGAGCAAGCGUUGUUCGGAAUUACUGGGCGUAAAGCGUGCGUAGGUGGAUAUGUAAGUCAGGGGUGAAAUCCCGGAGCUCAACUCCGGAACUGCCUCUGAAACUAUAUAUCUUGAGUAUCGGAGGGGAUGGUGGAAUUUCUAAUGUAGCGGUGAAAUGCGUAGAUAUUAGAAGGAACACCGGUGGCGAAGGCGACCAUCUGGACGAUUACUGACACUGAGGUACGAAAGCGUGGGGAGCAAACAGGAUUAGAUA